GAUGAACGCUAGCUACAGGCUUAACACAUGCAAGUCGAGGGGAAACGAUAGAGAAAGCUUGCUUUUUCUAGGCGUCGACCGGCGCACGGGUGAGUAACGCGUAUCCAACCUGCCCAUCACUUGGGGAUAACCUUGCGAAAGUAAGACUAAUACCCAAUGACGUCUCUAGAAGACAUCUGAAAGAUAUUAAAGAUUUAUCGGUGAUGGCUGGGAAUGCGUCUGAUUAGCUCGUUGGCGGGGUAACGGCCCACCAAGGCGACGACCAAGGGGGGUUAUGAGAGGAAGGUCCCCCACAUUGGAACUGGGACACGGUCAAAACUCCUACGGGAGGCAGCAGUGAGGAAUAUUGGUCAAUGGACGAGAGUCUGAACCAGCCAAGUAGCGUGCAGGAUGACGGCCCUAUGGGUUGUAAACUGCUUUUAUAAGGGAAUAAAGUGAGAGUCGUGACUCUUUUUGCAUGUACCUUAUGAAUAAGGACCGGCUAAUUCCGUGCCAGCAGCCGCAGUAA
rnacentral:rRNA from 1 species